GGAGCAGAGAGGACCAGAUGCGUGUGGGUUUGGGGAAAGAGGAGCAGGUAGCUUAAGGAAGAGGACGAGUCAGUUUGGGACAGGCCCUCCCUGAUGAAGCUUAUUGCCCAGUGGAGGGGGCUUCGAAACAAGGCUUCAAGCAAGGUUGAAGCAGACAGGCUGCAGAGAAGCUGCUGCUAAUGGCAAUGGGACCAGGAACGGGGGAAGAAGGCAGCACAAUCCUUCAACCUCAGAGGCUUGCGUGGGAGAAACCCCAGUCAGUAGGAAUGAUCAGAGCAAGAUGAGAGGAGUACGAGAAAAAUGAAGAAGC